rnacentral:rRNA from 1 species
UGAGUAACACGCGGAUAAUCUGCCCUGAAGUGGGGGAUAAUCUCGGGAAACUGAGGAUAAUACCCCAUAGGUGUGGUAUGCUGGAACGCUUCCACGCUCAAAGCUCCGGCGCUUCAGGAUGAGUCUGCGGCCUAUCAGGCUGUAGUGGGUGUAACGGACCCACUAACCUACGACGGGUAGGGGCGUUGAGAGACGGAGCCCCCAGAUGGAUUCUGAGACACGAAUCCAGGCCCUACGGGGCGCAGCAGCUACGAAAACUGCACAAUGUGGGAAACCACGAUGCGGGCAUUCCGAGUGCCAAGGCAUUGCUUUGGCUGUUCUCUCGCCUAAAAAGCGAGAGAAGUAAGGGCCGGGUAAGACGGGUGCCAGCCGCCGCGGUAAUACCCGCGGCCCGAGUGGUGCUCAUUAUUAUUGAGCUUAAAGCGUCCGUAGCCGGCCUCGUAAAUCUUUGGGUAAAUCGGGCAGCUUAACUGUUCGAAUUCCGAGGAGACUGCGAGGCUCGGGACCGGGAGAGGUUCGAGGUACUCCGGGGGUAGGGGUAAAAUCCUGUAAUCCUCAGAGGACCACCAGUGGCGAAGGCGUCGAACUAGAACGGAUCCGACGGUGAGGGACGAAGCCCUGAGGCGCAAACGGGAUUAGAUACCCCGGUAGUCCAGGGUGUAAACGCUGCGGGCUUGGUGUCGGAGGUCCUACGUGGCGUCCGGUGCCAGAGAGAAAUUGUUAAGCCUGCUGCUUGGGGAGUACGGUCGCAAGACUGAAACUUAA